rnacentral:rRNA from 1 species
GACGAACGCUGGCGGCGUGCUUAACACAUGCAAGUCGAACGGAAAGGCCCUGCUUUUGUGGGGUGCUCGAGUGGCGAACGGGUGAGUAACACGUGAGUAACCUGCCCUUGACCUUGGGAUAACUUCAGGAAACUGGGGUAAUAUCGGGUACGAAGCUCCGCCGCCAGGUGGGGGUUGGAAAGUUUCGGCGGUUGGGGAUGGACUCGCGGCUUAUCAGCUUGUUGGUGGGGUAGUGGCUUACCAAGGCUUUGACGGGUAGCCGGCCUGAGAGGGUGACCGGCCACAUUGGGACUGAGAUACGGCCCAGACUCCUACGGGAGGCAGCAGUGGGGAAUAUUGCACAAUGGGCGGAAGCCUGAUGCAGCAACGCCGCGUGCGGGAUGACGGCCUUCGGGUUGUAAACCGCUUUCGCCUGUGACGAAGCGUGAGUGACGGUAAUGGGUAAAGAAGCACCGGCUAACUACGUG